GAGCAAAACGGCUGGAAAAGUGUGGCUGUUGAACGAUCUCAAUAAGAAAAGUGUGGGUGUUGAAUUCCCCACAUCCCCCAUGGGUGCGAUGCCCAUGCAUGCCUGCUCAUAUUUCCUGGUAUUUUCUGUCUUAGUUGUGCCUGACACGCUCUGCUGCUGUGGAGCUCAUCAUCCAUGCUCCGGUGACUUCACCUCAUUGGUGCGGCCACUUGCAAGAUAAUCUUAUCAGAUAAUCUUACCUUGUGUGGUGUCUUACGAGCACUUUGGUCCACUCGAAAGGACGUUGACUGCUUAAACCAUAAAUCUAGGCUUUCAAAUGUAUAUUGGAUUGUCUUUGUCUCAUUUGGGGGGGAACAAACAUGCUGCUUGUAGAAUGGGAUGUGCAGCUGAUCAGAUAUCGAGAUGAUGGAAGAGGUGUCAUGGUCCGCGUCUGUCCUUCCCUUCUUGUGUCUCCUGAUAUUUCUCCACCCUCUCUAGAUUCCCUUCUGUGUCUCAUAGCGCCCUCAUGUGUCCUUUGUCUGCGUCUCUAUUAUGUGUCUUCUGUUUGUAGGCCUUCUUAUCAUUCCCUCAGGACCGGUGUUCAUUUAGUUAUCCUCUGCCCCUCCAGUUGUAGCUCCAGCCUCUUGUUCCCCAGCUUAGUGUAUGUGUGUAGUGUGUGUAUGUGUGUGUGAGUUAUUUGUGUCAGUGUGUGUGUGUGUGCAUGUCCUGCCCCAGUUCAUUGUAUGUGUGUAUGUGUUUGUGUGAGUCCUUCCCUCAGGCCUAAUCCACACGUAGCCGUCUUUUUUAUCAACGAAUAUCCGCCCCUCCAAAAACUUGCAUCCACACCACCUCGUUUAAAAAAAACUGUCCACACGUACCCGGAUAAAUACGUUGUUAAGGACAUGCCAGACCUGUAGGCGGCAGUACUUCCCCCGUUCUUAACCUCGUCCUUCGUCUGUGGUCUUCCACAAGGAGCAGUAAUUCCGCUUGCAAAAACAAACAAGCAAAAAGCGCUUGGACAAUUGAUAAAGCGAGCGCAGCUCUGAGGGCUUCCAUGAUGUCGGCUAGUGUAAACACAGGUCGCACACGUGAUGUCAGCAUUUUUUUUCGUCGCGGAAAGUGACGUUGCGGACCUUAAAACUCCGGUUUUGUCUGUCCACACGCAGACACCCAAAACGGAGAAAACGCAGAUCUUCACUUUGGCCGGAGUUUUUAAAAAGAUCCGUUUUCGUGUGGAUGACAGGCCAAAACGUAAAAAAAUUCUACGUUUUCGGAGAUCCCCGGUUACGUGUGGACAGGGCCUUAAUUAGAUAUUUGAGUAUUUUAGCCUUUGAGUAUUUGUUGAAAUUUUUGACUUUGGAUUUUUGCAUUUUUAGUCUCCUGCUGUUGUUUCCAGACAAACCCUCCACUUCCCAUCUCUGACUGGCAGAAUUCUGGAGAACCGCUACACCCGCUCAUCUCUCAGUCCCUCCCUGGCCAAUUCCACCUCCAGUAGCCCACCGAUACUCACCUGGAUCUGCACCAUCCUCACGCUCGGCUCCCUCCACCUCCAACUCUGGAUCCCUGCUCCUAGAAAGCUUCACCGACCCAGACCGGACCAACUUCCACCCUCGAGCUAUUUCCCCUCUCAGACUAUCCCGCACCCGACUCCUGUUGAAGAUCUCGGCUACAUUUAUGCUGCUUCCUUGGUUUCUCCAUUAAUAAUACGUUGUUUAAAACUUUCUCCGUAGUCUGCGAACUGAUUCUGUAGGUCAUGGGUUUGACACUUGCCUCACAACAUGAGACAAAACUUCUCUGACAUAGCUAGCAGGUUCAAUUUUAGCAUGAAAGAAGUAUCCUGUGUCCGAAUGCAGCCAUACUAAAAAGUGGGGGCAGGCUGGUGUAACGACAGCGGAGGUCAGGGGCAUCAUUCAUAAGAUUGCAUAUGUAGCUCUGAUUGGUCUGGUUUUUCACCAGAUGUCCUGGUUUCCUCACAACUGACAAAUAAUGUACCAAAAGGAUCAAUUUUCACCUGUUGACCAACAUCAUCUACAGCAUAAAUCCACUUUCUUUGUGGCCUUCUAAAUCCAGAAGGUUGUGCUCAGUGCGUGUUGACUUUCCAUUAAGACAAAACACACAAAUAUUCUCACCCAAGGUUCUUACGCUCACCGUGAACGCCAGAUGUCAACAUCCUCCACUCUGAAUAAGUGAAGACUCCACCAUGUUAUAGUUAUGAGUUAAAUAAUAUGUGAUGAAUGAGCAAGAUGUUUAAAUAAUCUGUGCUUAAAUCAAUGAAUUUGAAAUGAAUAUUCUUACAAUGAUCCAUUUUUAUCACAAAACACUGUUUUUAACAAGUUAAUCAUUGUUUACACUUCUACACAUUACAAUAAGACACAUUAAGGUUAAAAACAGUUUUGUAUCUGAAGGAAGGCGUGGCUUUCUGAGGGAUGUUGGUAAAUACUCAAAAACGUGUCAAAUUCUGAUUUGCCAAACUUGGCCAGAAAUCAUAACAAAGUAGUUUAAUAAAACAAUGAUUACUUCCAGAGUGACUCAGUUUCCAGCUGACCCGAUUCGGCCAAAUCGAGAAAGACGCCUCUUUUUGAAACAAUCUCUUUUGACCUCAAAACCUUUCUGCGAUGCUGCAAGUGAUUACAGACACAACAGCUCUUUUCAGAGCUACUUCACACCUGAGACACCAAAUCUGCAGACCCCGGGUUGCAUCUCAUGGCGGGCGAAGCCAAACUCAGAGGAAGCUACUAAUCUCUGAGUAUUGUGGUUUCAACGUCUGGUGACCUCACCACUCUGACCACAACCCUCCAGACCGCCGGGAGCAACUCAUACCAGGGUAUCGUAAGCCUGCAUACUGGCGUCUGAUGAGUUUUUUUUAUCAAUAAACAACUCUAGUUUAAAACAAACAAAUGAUUUUACACCCAGGUUUCACAAUUUCUCUCAGAUACAAAGAGCGGUUGCUACAACAUCUAGCUUCUGUUGUGUGGUGGGGUGAGUACUCCUUCAUCUCUAGAACAUCUUUGAGUUCUUCAUUUCAGGAGAGGGAGCUCACCAGCAGGCAUUAGUAAUCAGCGGCAGCUGCAGCUCCUCAGGUCAUCCGCAGCAGAGCUCUGUUUAAGAGGAGAGGGAACUACUACACUUCGCUGGAUGAUUAGCUACUCACGGAUUCCUGGACAACCUUCCCUGACGCUCUGGGUUUGUUGGAUCUGAUCCUCCAUCCGAGAAGCGGAACCAGUACUGCAUUACUCACCUGGAAAGAACCAUCAAUCAAUCAAUCAAUCAAUC